AUCUCCGGGGCGGCCUCCUUCCUCUGCCCCAGCACCUGACUUUGCAGCCUCUGAGUCUUAGGAGGGAAGCACCAGAGGGAGGCUGCCCUGAGGCUAUGGGGGAGCCCGGGCCAGAGCGGAAGGGAUGGGUCAUUUGAGUGAGUCCCUCGAGAUUACUCUCUCUAGCUGAUUGAAAUUGCCAUUUAUGGGGAAACUAGAGCCCAGGCUCGGCACCUGUGUGCUUUUCUUUCACCCGUACUGGUGUGUUCAAGUCCUGUGUCAGUAGCAGAGGCUCACGGAUGUUGUGAAGAUCCCGCAGGCAGCGGCCGCCCGCGAUGAAGCUGGGCCGGGCCCCGCGGGUGACGUCAGCACCAUGAUGAGCCCUGCAGGCGGCCGGCGCCACACUCCCAGGCCUGCUCGCAGAGGUUGGCGAUGGGGUGUGUGUGCCCAUGACGAGCAGUGGUGUCUCUCAGUGGGGACUUGCCCCUACCCAGCGUGCCCUGUGCUACCAGUUGUUUGUUGUUUCUCUUUUAGAAUGUCAGUGGCUAACAGUAAAGUGAACAAGAGCUUUUGAAUUCAAGGGUCCUAACUGCUCAGGUCGCCUUUAUUUAAAAGGACGCAGUUAAGGUACUUUUAUCCUUUUGGAAAUACCGCUUUACCUACUUUUUUAAGCUAGAACUAAAACCGUAACCCUGAACUAGAAUGCCUCUUGGUGUGCGUGUGUUCUGCCGUGGUCUGUGGUCUUGCUACUAGCCCAUCUCUAACUAAGCAAAGCAACGUGGAACUGUAUUUGAAAGCGUAUCUCUUAGAGCACAUGAAUUACACAGGAACGAGAAAAACAAAAGUUGUUUUGGAUCACAUUUUACAGCUCUCUAACUUUAACCGUUGUCUUUUAAGAAAAAAAAAAACAGACUGAUAAAAUUUGGUGGUUGAAACUGUAGCAUCCACACCCAUUGAACUUCCACUGGUAGAUACGACGUAAGUGUACUUUGGUGUGUGUUGGUGUGUAAAUUUCUCACGAGUCAGAAAAUAAUUUUCCCUGCUUAGUCUGUGUUCUGCAUUUGAGGAGAGAGUGCUUUGUUUCAUCACAGCCGUCACUUGUCUCUCACGUUCAUAGCCACCGAAAACAUCGUGUGUGAAACACGCGGCAUGCAGGAGGCGCUCAGCAGUCGUUGCUGACUAGUGCCCUGUUGCGUGGUGCUUACUAAGCGGUGUUGCUCCACCACUGCGACCUCAAAAGACAGGACCAUUUCGCUAAAGGACUAUUCCAAGGUGUCGAAAGGAUAGCUCACCUGUGAAAGUCAAAUGUGUUUCACCACAUCAUAGGUAUAUGAAGUGCAUCUGUAUCUGUGAAAACGUGGAAAAAUAGUGUUUCAGUUGGCGCUGCACCACAUAUAUUUGUUAAAAACGUGAAAUUAUAAAUAAGGAAAGAAUCUGCUCUUCCUUCUUCCUCCCCGGUAUCAUCUCUGACCCCAAAGCCUGGGGCCCACAGGUACCACUGCGGGUGUCAUCACAGACGAAAGGAUUCGAACAGCAGAAGUCUGGAGGUGGGGGGGUGUCAGUGACUAAGGUCUUGGGAGAUCACACUCCUUUGAAAUGGGCCCCACAGCAAAGCCCUCAAAACUUUCUCACAGCGGGUCCCGCAGUUAGUAAGUGCCUGGGACAGGGGAGCACCCAGCACAUGUGGGUUGUCCCAUUCUGGUCCUCUGGCUGUGCACACGUGGUGCGCAUCUGUGUGUUUAACAGUUCGCGUCGUGUUUGUCAUUCCUCUUUCACUUCACGGUUUAUCGCAGAUCAUUCCCACGUUGAAAAGAGGACGAAAUGUGACAGCAGCAAGAGAA